AAAAAAAUCUGCUUGUAAGAUUUUGUUGUCUUAGUAAUCUUGCAGUUUCACUAUGUUGUAUUUAGCUGUGGAUAUCUUUUUAUUUACCAUAAUUAGGAUUUGUUGAGCUUAACUUUGUAUAUUGGUGCUUUUCAUGAUUUCUUGAAAAACUUUUAGCCAUAACUCUUCCAAGAUUGCUUCUGUUCCAUAAAAAAUUCUUUUCUCCUUCUGAAAUAGAUCAGACAUAUGUGGGAUCUUAUCUUUCAUGUCUUAACGUCCCUUUGAUAUUUUUCACCUCUUUGUGUCUCUGUGUUGUAUUCCAAAUUUCUUCAGAUCUCACUUCUGCUUCACUAAUACUCUCUUCAGCUGUGUAAUCUGUUGUAAAACUAUUCACUGAAUUAUUUUUAGUGAUUUUAAAACAUUUUCUUGAAAUUUGUUUAGUAUUUUUGAAUAUUUACUCUUCACUUAUUUUCAAGCUGCCUUUCUGUUUCUAGAAAUAUAUUAAACAUGCUUAUUUUCUCUUCUGUAUCUGAUAAUUUUGCUGUGUGGAAGAGUUUUCUGUCUGAUUCUGCUAUCUGUUAUUUCUGGUUGCCCUUGCUCAUGGGUGCUUGUUUCCUUGUGUGUUUGGAGAUUUUAUACUGUGAGCUGCUCAUUUUCCCUGCAGUUUCAUAUCUGAGGUUCUCUAAGGCCUAGAAUGAAGGGGAUAUCUUCCAGAGAGGACUUGUUUGCUUCCCCCAGGUGACUGGGAACAUUGCCAACUUCGGACCAUGUUACGUUCUCUGUCAGAGGUUUCAUUGAGCCAUUCAGGUAGUGUGUAUUUGGGCUGCAAAACUAACUGAGGGUCCACUCCUGAUUACAAAUUCUUAGGGGGAUUUUGUUUUUCUCUGCUCAGGACCAACCUUUAAGACAAGUGAUUUUUCUUGUAUUUUAUUUUGGAUUCACCAUUACAUUGAAGGUAUAGCCCUUGGGGGCCCCAAAUUUCCUAUUAUAUGCCCUACCUUUGGAGGCUCUUUUGAGGCAGUGAAAACUUACAGUUAAGCUCAUUGGGCUUUGUAAAUAAUUGCAACAUAAAAUAUUUCAGACCUUUUCUUACCUCUCCAGGUUUUCAUACCCACUUAGUUUUUGGCUUGAGUAUUCCUCAUAUUGUUUCCAGUUGAUAGAUGCAUUUAACAUUUAAAAAAUUUUAUCCAACCUGUCUAGUUUUCCACAAAGGAGUAUUUUCUGGGAACCUAGUUUACCAUAUUGCCAGAAGAAGAAAUCCUUCGACUGGCUGAUGUAAUGAAUGAUUUACCAUGGAAAGCUUCACAACAUUGAGCCAUUUUCAUUCUUGCAUUUCUGCAGUAAACCUAAUUUGGGCAUGGGCUUACCAACUUGGGGUUCAGUCUUUUCUAUGUGGCUAGAUUCUAUUUGCUGUUCUCUUGUUUGGAUUUAUGAAAAUUCUUUUCUUCCAUGAGACCGAACUAUAUAUUCCCUUUAUUUUCACACUGUCUUUAUUAGGCUUUGUUGCUGAAGUUAUGCAUGCUGGCUAGCUUCAUAAAAACAAUAACUUAAAUAGCAUUGAGUUUGUCUCUUGUCCUGUUCUCUGUUCCACUUUGAAAUGUGUCUCUCCGUUGUCCUCUCCUCCCAACUCCCUUCAUGCUGAGCCAUGUCCCUGGAGAUGAGAGAACCUCAGGCCUUCUCUUCCCCACUUACAGAAUCUGACUCCUACCCCACAGUCUGUCAGGAGCAGCAAUUUGAACUCUAGAGUUUGGGGGAGGCAGGAGUUUCCUGGGUCCCUGGGCUCAGCUCUUCACCAGUUCCAUUUCUGAGUCUCCUCCCAACUUGGUACUGCAGUCACGCCCCCCACUGCUCAGGUGUUGUCCCACUGAGCGUUUGCUUUAGCUGGUCUUCCUGGCCUGGUGUUGAUUCUUUCGACAGCUAUUCAUUGAGCACUGACUAUGUGCCAGGCAGUGGGAUGCUACAACGUAUAAGAUCAUGAAGCUCACAGUCUCAUGAAGCUCAGUCCAUUGGGGUAGGGAGGGCAGACCAUCAACAAAUACACUGCAUGGCAGCCAGAUGGUGAUCAGAGAGCAGUGGAGAAAAAGGAAGCUUUGUGUCCCCAGGAGGCUUCCAGCUUGUUUGGGCAUCUGCAGGUCAAGUCCACAUAGUCCCCUCAUCGUCCCCUGAGUUCUUGCUGGAGUGCAGUGGUGCGAUCUCCACUCACUGCAGCCUCCGCCUCCCAGGUUCAAGCGAUUCUCUGCCUCAGCCUCCCAACUAGCUGGGAUUACAGGUGUGCGCCACCAUACCCUGCUAAUUUUUGUAUUCUUAGUAGAGACGGGGUUUUGCCAUGUUGGCCAGGCUGGUCUCAAACUCCUGGCCUCAAGUGAUCUGUCCGCCUUGGCCUCCUAAAGUGCUGGGAUAACAGGCGUGAGCCACUGCACCUGGCCCUAUUUUUUUUUUUUUUAAUUAUUCUCUCAUAUAAAUGUCACAAUCAACUUGUCAAGCUUUUGAACUAUAUUGGUA
rnacentral:lncRNA from 10 species